rnacentral:tRNA from 1 species
GCCCUGGUGGUGUAGUCCGGCUCGGGUAAACUAGCCUUGCUUGUUUCCUGCGGUACCUAUCAUGAAGCCCUGUCGAGGCUUCGACCCGGGUUCAAAAACCGGUCACAGGUUGUUGGAUACGGCAUACCGGUUCGUGUGCCGGGAUGCUGGGGGCCUGUACGGAGUGAAAGUCCCGGCCAGGGCG